GACGAACCGUGCGAACGUUAUUCGGAAUCACUGGGCUUAAAGGGCGCGUAGGCGGGCUCGCAGGUCAGGGGUGAAAGCCCACGGCUCAACCGUGGAAGUGCCUUUGAUACCGUGAGUCUCGAGGGAGGUAGGGGCGUGCGGAACUUCCGGUGGAGCGGUGAAAUGCGUAGAUAUCGGAAGGAACGUCGGUGGCGAAAGCGGCGCGCUGGACCUCUUCUGACGCUGAGGCGCGAAAGCCAGGGGAGCAAACGGG
rnacentral:rRNA from 1 species